rnacentral:lncRNA from 1 species
CGUGUCGAUACGUACUAUCACCCAUGUGAAUCAAGAUGGCUCUUGAGACUGAAGAAAGAAAAGAAGAGUGCGAUGUUGGGAUCAAUCCCAGCUAACAUGCACGCUAUAGUAAAACCACAGAUAUGUCACCAUGAGUUCGGAACUAUCGAACAUGGUAACAUCUCAAGAUAUUGGAGGAGAGUUAUAAAGAAGGGAUGGAGAGGAAGCCUCAACCCAAUCCAGAAGUAUUCCUCAUAGAAGCUUAUCCGAUCUGGGGGAGGUCAGCAGACUCGAUCAUUUGGCCUUG